rfam:Triticum aestivum genome assembly, contig: Triticum_aestivum_CS42_TGACv1_scaffold_451430_5DL
GCCCUUUUAACUCACUGGUAGAGUAAUGCCAUGGUAAGGCAUAAGUCAUCGGUUCAAAUCCGAUAAAGGGCU